AACAGGAUUAGAUACCCUGGUAGUCCACGCCGUAAACGAUGAGUGCUAGGUGUUGGGGGGCUACGCCCCUCAGUGCCGAAGGUAACCCAUUAAGCACUCCGCCUGGGGAGUACGGCCGCAAGGCUGAAACUCAAAGGAAUUGACGGGGGCCCGCACAAGCGGUGGAGCAUGUGGUUUGAUUCGAAGCAACGCGAAGAACCUUACCAGGGCUUGACAUCCCGCUGACCCCUCCAGAGAUGGAGGUUUCCUUCGGGACAGCGGUGACAGGUGGUGCAUGGUUGUCGUCAGCUCGUGUCGUGAGAUGUUGGGUUCAGUCCCGCAACGAGCGCAACCCUUGUCGUUAGUUGCCAGCAUUUCGGAUGGACACUCUAACGAGACAGCCGGUGAAAGCCGGAGGAAGGUGGGGAUGACGUCAAAUCAUCAUGCCCCUUAUGUCCUGGGCUACACACGUGCUACAAUGGCUGGUACAAAGGGCAGCGAACCCGCGAGGGGGAGCCAAUCCCAAAAAGCCAGUCUCAGUUCGGAUCGCAGGCUGCAACUCGCCUGCGUGAAGCCGGAAUCGCUAGUAAUCGCGGAUCAGCAUGCCGCGGUGAAUACGUUCCCGGGUCUUGUACACACCGCCCGUCACACCACGAGAGUUUGCAACACCCGAAGUCGGUGAGGCAACCUUUUAGGAGCCAGCCGCCGAAGGUGGGGCAGAUGAUUGGGGUGAAGUCGUAACAAGGUAACC
rnacentral:rRNA from 1 species